AUACAACUGACGAGUCCCAAAUAGGAUAAAACUCGAGUCAAACUGGAU
rnacentral:hammerhead_ribozyme from 1 species